rnacentral:tRNA from 8 species
GGAGUAUUACUCAAGUGGCUUAAGAGGUUGGGUUGCUAACUCAAUAGGUGAUUUAUUUCACUCAUAGGUUCAAAUCCUAUAUGCUCCG